AUCUACUUUUUAUAUUGACACUAGAAAUAAUUUAUAUGGCUAAAUAACGUUUACCGGGUCAGCUAAUUUUUAAUUUAAAUUCACUCAAUAUUUUGG